UUGCGUCUCUCCGUCACGUCAGCGGGGGUGCGGAGGGGGCUCGGGGCGUCCGCGGCCCCGCUCUGCUGCUCCUAAAGCGGGGAGCCGCAGCUCGCCGGAGCCCGGAAAACUACCCGAAUCUCCCCGGUUCGGAUCAAAACAGCAGUCACAAUACCAGCUGAGCGUCUCCACAGGGGCAGACGUCCAGAAUUAGCCUUCCUGCUCGAUGCUAAUCCUCCUUCACUGCUCCUCAGUGUGGGCUUUUCCCGGUAGAUUUUCAGCCGGACCAAUCAGCGAACAGAGUGAACGAUGACGUCGAUUUUCUGCGCUGUUUUAGAAAAGUGGUCUGCCUGCAGUUUUAGCAAUAUCAAGUCAACAAAGCCAUUCAGUCCGUGUUGGUCGCACUUCCAAAUGUCUAUUUAGCUUCAAUAGCGAUCUAGUUCGGCUCCACAACGGCGAAGAUUGGUUGUUUGCAGCGCAGGAAACUUCCGUCACAUUGAUUACUGCAACCAACCAGAUCCAGAACGCUGCCGCUGAAGUUCUGACUAAAACCAGGAAGUAAGAGAACAUCAGCCCCGUUCCAAAGUCCCUACACUUAGAGAAGAGACGAUUGAUUCAGCGUUUCCAAGUGCUGCGCUGCUGCCGCCGCUGGUAUGAUGGGAAUUGUCUCAGAAAUCUUCAGGUGGAUGCAACCACGGACUCUUCCUGCAGCUGCUGCUGCAGUCUCAUCAUUAUUUUAAAUAGAAAACAGUCAAAACAUAUGCAGACAGCAUGCAUUUCAUGCGAUGUAGUCGGAUAGUUGCCACAAAUCCAGGGCAACCUCUCCUGUAAGGAGCAUUUGCUGCUUGGCAACACAGCUCCACCUGUGCAGAGCGCCGCUGCCACUGCAGACACAAUCACAUUUAUCCUCCCUGCAGGUGCAUGUCAAUAAAUCACAGAAUAUUAUCGGAAAGUUCAUUUAAUUACAAAAUAAAUAUUCCAAGCAUUGUUUCUGUUUAU